rnacentral:lncRNA from 1 species
GGCUUGUCUCGCGCACUCUAGCUGAGCCAAUGGAGUUACUCGUAGUCGAGAGGCCGGCAUCACUGGAGUGGUGGCGCAGCGGUUUCCUCCGGUAGGUGUGGGGCUGCCAUCUUGUGUGUGGCUGGGACUGGGCUUCUUGGGGGUUGAAAACUUAUAUAGCGCCUGGCCGUAGUGGAGGGGUCCGGAGAGAACACUGGAACCUUAUAAAACCUAAGUUGCAAGAAUUCAGGUAUCAAUAAAGUGGUGUUGAUUUGGUAGCUAAAGUACGUGUAAGGAAAAGUUAUCAAGAUCAGCUAAAAGAUCCUGGGUAAGAAACAUCAAUAAUAGUAGGAGGUCAGUGCUAAAUAAUAAUGCUGUUUAGCAUUUAGAUACAAAUGCUAAGACAUUGGUAUCUCAUUCACGGCAUAUAUUAGAUAAUAUAAUUGUUCAAUGAGUAAAAGAAUCUAGUAAUUGG